AACGAACGCUGGCGGCAUGCCUAACACAUGCAAGUCGAACGAGACCUUCGGGUCUAUUGUCGCACGGGUGCGUAACGCGAGGGAACCUGCCCUUAGGUUUGGCAUAACUCCCCGUAAGGGAUACCAGUACGGGAUAAUGUCUUAUGACCGAAGCUUUAUCGCCGUUGGAUGGGCGCGGGUGGGAUUAGCUAGUUGGUAGGGUAAAAGCCUACGAAGGCGACGAUCCAUAGCUGGUGUGAGUGGAUGAUCAGCCACACGGGGACUGAGACACGGCGCAGACUCCUACGGGAGGCAGCAGUGGGGAACAUGGGACAAUGGGCGAAAGCGUGAGCCAGCAAUGUCGCGUGAGUGAUGAAGGCCUGAGGGUUGUAAAGCUCUUUUACCCGGGAUGAUAAUGACAGUACCGGGAUAAUAAGCGCCGGCUAACUCCGUG
rnacentral:rRNA from 1 species